CUCCUCUCUAUUUCCUUCAAUUUCCUUCAAUUCUUGAACCGCCUUCUUCAAUAUAGAAACCCCAAUCAAUUCUCAAUCAGUUGAAAUCUUCUCCAAAAUUAUGAAUGCCUUUCCAUUGUCUAUGUCAGAGAAUUCAAACGCAAAUCCUUCUCUGUGCUUCCAAUCCUCUUCGAUCCACACCAUGAAAUCCCCAGGUUACACCACAUCUUCAGUUUGGAUCGUGAUUUGUGAACUUCAUACUCAAGAGGUAAUUAAAAGAGGAUCUUUUUGGGGGAAUUAAUGGUUUAUGUGCCAAAAUAAAGUAUCGAGGAGCGGGUAGAAGAUUGGAAGAAAAGUGAUUUGAAAUGGGAUUUUUCGUCUUCGUCGUAUUGUUUUGCUCGCUAGAUCUUUUACUCAGUGCGGAGAAUUUAGGGUUGAGUUCGUGUGUUUCAUCUUGCGAUGGAUAGCAAGCGUUGAAGGACAUUGAAUGGCGGGAGGCAAAGCAGACGAAGUGUAAGUCACUAUUAAUUAAAGUUUCUCUAGAUGUGAGAUUGUUUCUUUUGUUGUAUGUUGAUUUUUGGUAACGGGAUUUUAACUUCCCUUUUGCAAAGCCCUGAGUCAGAUUCAAAUUUUGGUUGAAGCAUAUUGAAAAGGAGGACAAAUAGGGCUACUUCCCAGCAACCCUUUAAGCUCAGAAUAGAGGUUGCUCCUUAAGAUCAGCUCGAAUAUGGAACGAUUGGUUAAUGUGCCUCAACUGGUACCUACAUUGAUUAGCUAUAUCUUAAUAGGAGCAUGCAUAUUUCUUAGCUAAAUCUUAAUAUGAGCAAGUGCACACGCAUUUAGACAUAAGCAUAUGGAGUGGGUAUAGAAUUCAUGCCACAUUGCAGAUCAUGUGAAAUUCAGUUAGGGUUUAAAGCGCUCGAUUUAGGAUUUAAUGAUAUCUCGGAUGAUGUUUUGACGCAUCUGAAAGGGUUUAAACAGAUUUGACAAACCGGGCUGUUUCAUGCGGGUUACAAACUGUCGAAGAAGAUCGGGUUAGCUAAAAACAUCCAAACCGAGUACUACUCUACGGGUUGAAAAGGUUCCAAGCCGCGUUGGCUAUAAAUUGGGUACAACCCGGGUUCGGGUUGGAUAGGGUUGUCGGGUUCGGUUUCUAACCCGAUUUAGGGUUACACCUCUAUUCGUGAUCAUCAAAGUGACAAUAUGCUUCAAAGGAGCUAUCUGAACAAGAACUGAGAAAGGAUAAUAAGUUCUUAAGAGUUUAUGUUGCUUACUUUCGGGCCUUAAAGCCUCUACAUAGCAUUAAUGGGCUUGAAAUGUUUUGGUUAUCUUCUCCCCCCAUUAUGAAGGCGAUUGAGGCUCUCGAUCCAGAGCACAGAUGUUUGGAGUACUGGAGUAGCAAAGGCAACCCGAAUAAUAGAGAUUAGAGAUGCUGCUGACUUUUUUAGGCAAGAACAUGAGGUUGACUUUUGACUUUUUAGUCUUAGUUCUUUUGGUUUCUUAUUAUAGAAAUGAGCAGCAAGUGGUAGAAAAUUGAAGUUAUAGGAUCUUUACCUUUUCUGUUUA